rnacentral:rRNA from 1 species
CCUACGGGAGGCAGCAGUGAGGAAUAUUGGUCAAUGGGCGCGAGCCUGAACCAGCCAAGUAGCGUGAAGGAUGACUGCCCUACGGGUUGUAAACUUCUUUUAUAAAGGAAUAAAGUGAGCCACGUGUGCCUUUUUGUAUGUACUUUCUGAAUAAGGAUCGGCUAACUCCGUGCCAGCAGCCGCGUUAAUACGGCGGAUCCGAGCGUUAUCCGGAUUUAUUGUUUUUAAAGGGAGCGUAGAUGGGUUGUUAAGUCAGUUGUGAAAGUUUGCGGCUCAACCGUAAAAUUGCAAUUGAUACUGGCAGCCUUGAGUACAGUUGAGGUAGGCGGAAUUCGUGGUGUAGCGGUGAAAUGCUUAGAUAUCACGAAGAACUCCGAUUGCGAAGGCAGCUUACUAAACUGCCACUGACAUUGAUGCUCGAAAGUGUGGGUAUCAAACAGGAUUAGAUACCCUGGUAGUC